GAAGGUCAUGAAGAACUCGUCAGACCUUAUUAUCAGUCAUAUGCUAGAUUGGCUUGACUUGAGUUUAUUUAUGAAUCCCGUAAAAAUUCUUUUCCAGUAUUUACACUUGUUUUGGCCAAAGACUUUCUGAACUCAGUCUCGCAAAUCGUAUAGAACUUCUUUUUUUCUAUCAAGAUCGAUAGAUCCCAUCUAGAUGCAUCCUACUCUAAACAGCGAAGCUGAACCUACUGAAAUCAACAUACACAGCAAGGACCUGAAUGGCUAGGGAUCAAAAAACGUACAGUCAAAUUCAGUAGUCUUGCUGUAAAUAGCCAAUGACACCAUAGGUCAAAGGAUCAUUCACACCACUG
rnacentral:lncRNA from 1 species